rnacentral:lncRNA from 12 species
CAAUGUCUCACUUUUGCAAAAGGAGAUAAACUCUCAGUCAGCUGUCACUGCUGACAGUCUGUGAUGACACUGUGGUAUUGAAGCAGCAACAGAGUAGUGCAAAAGCUUCUCACUGCUGUUGGAGAGCACCACCAGUAAAGCUAAG